CACUCUUUGCCCAGGCUCAGGCUGGAGUGCAGUAGUGCAAUCUCGGCUCACUACAACCUCUGCCUCCCAGGUUCAAGUAAUUCUCCUGUCUCAGACUCUCGAGUAGCUGGGAUUACAGGUGCACACCACCAUGCCCAGCUACUUUUUUGUAUUUUCAGUAGAGACAGGCUUUUCACCACGUUGGCCAGGCUGGUCUCAAACUCCUGACCUCAAGUGAUCUGCCCGCCUUGGCCUCCCCAAAUUCUGGAAUUUGGGGAGCCACUGCGCUUUGUCUCUUGUUCGCUUUUAAGAGCUUAUGUAACUUUCUUCCCAUGUUUCUAUUUUCUUUGUUUUCUGCUUUUCUUCCUUUUCAGCUUGUUUUUCUCUGUACUUACUUAUGAAGUUUCUGCGAGGCAGUUUUUACAUCUUUCAAAGUCUCAUCCAAAGCUCAAGCUUUCUUCUAGUGACUUUCAGCAUUUAAAAACUUUUCUUCUUCUAACUACCUUCUUCUUCCUACAAGUGUCUGUGAGUUGGAGAGUUUUGUAAUGCAAGCUCAAAAUCUUCCGUUGCUUUGGUCAGACUUCCCUUUGUCACAUUUAACCCUCCAAGAAAUGCCAGUGCUUUGUUUGUUUCUAGAGUUUUAUUGUAUUCAUUCACAGCAUCCACAUGGCAUCCAAUCUUAAACUGUAAUCUUCACCUAUUUUAAAGCCCAAGAUACAUAUUGAUUCUUUCUUAAUGCAGAAAAAAAAUUGUCUUAAGAGAAAUUAUUGCUCUGCAGGCCUUUCAUUAAAUGUGGUGGAUGGUUGUAGCGACACGAAUGGAACUGGAGUACAUUACCCUAAGUGAAAUAACUCAGAAACAGAAAGUCAAAUACCACAUGUUCUUCCUUCUAAGUGGGAGCUAAAUAAUGUGUACACAUGGACAUAUGGAGUAGAAUAACAGACAUUAGGGACUCAGAAGGGUGGGAUGGUGGAAGGAGGGUGAGGAAUAAAAAAAUUACCUAUUGGGUACAAUGUUCAUUAUUUUUGAGAUGGGUACACUAAAAGCCCAGACUUCACCAGUGUGAAAUACAUCUAUGUAACAAAACUGCACUUGUAUCCCCUCAAUAUGUGUUUUGGUGGUGUUUUUUGUUUUUUUGUUUUUUUGUUUUUCUGAGAUGGAGUCUCGCUCUGUCACCCAGGCUGGAGUGCAGUGGUACACUCUUGGCUCACUGCAAACUCCGCCUCCCAGAUUCAAGUGAUUCUCCUCCCUCACCCUCCUGAGUAGCUGGGAUUACAGGCAGGCACCACCACGCCCAGCUAAUUUUUGUAUUUUUAGUAGAGACAUGGUUUCACCAUGUUGGUCAGGCUAGUCUUGAACUGCUGACAUCGUGAUUCGCCUGCCUCAGCCUCCCAAAGUGCUGGGAUUACAGGCAUGAGCCACUAUACCUGGCCCUAAAUAUGUUUUUUUAAGGUGCUGGAUUAGAUUAGUCUAUUCCUACUUUUUCUAGAAAAAAAUUACUCCUGGAUUCACAAAUCCCACUGAACUCUGCAUGAUGUUUUUGUAGGCUCCA
rnacentral:lncRNA from 1 species